rnacentral:rRNA from 1 species
GGACUCAUUAAGACGCGAUGAAUACGUCCCUAUUCUUUGUACACACCGCCCGUCGUUAUCGAAGAUGAAGACAGGCGCGAACGAUCUACCAGAAAGUGAGCGCAGGUCUUUAGAUCUGAUACAAGUCGUAACAAGGUAGCUGUAGGUGAACCUGUAGCUGG